CUUACCUCAGCUGCCAACCACAAUGACUUGGCUGUGGCCGUUCAGUUUAUUACCUUCAGUUAUGUGUUAAGUGUUUUAGACUUUAAGCACAAUCAGUAAG